GCAAGAGUGGAAUUAAGAGGUGCAGGAAUCAACUAUAAAAAGAGGUGUGUGCAUGGGGAGUGGAGUGGGAUGGGGAUACAAUGCGAAAGAGUUACAGAAGAUGUGUACAGAAGAGUGAAGUGAAGAAAUUGAGGGGAAGUCAUUCAUCUAUAUCAGAAGUUAUGGUUCUUCAAGAGCAUUUGACAAAUCUUAAGUCACACUGAGAAGAAACUAUUUCUAUACAGCUGUAUGAAUUGUUUGUAUUUUAGAAAUUAUUAGAAAAGAAAUUAAAAAGUUUAUAAAGUAAAAAAUUACAAUAAGCUAAAGUUAAUUUAUUAUUGAAGAAAGAAAACUAUUCUUAUAAAUUUGGUGUAGACUAAGUGUCCAUCUUUUAGCUGCUUACAGUAAAAUUAGAGAGAAGAGAAAUGAUUUUAAGAUGGAAUUAAUAAUUAAAACAGAAGCAGAAUAGAAAGAUUUGGAAAACUCUCAGACUGGCCAUGUAAACAAUAAUAAAGCAUGCUUGGGAGAGAAUACUAACCGUGUGGUCAAGCGACUGUUUGCUAAAAAUAGUAAUAUGGAUGGAAGGAAGAU
rnacentral:lncRNA from 1 species